GACGAACGCUGGCGGCGUGCUUAACAAAUGCAAGUCGAACGAAGUGGCGAACGGGUGAGUAACGCGUAAUCAACCUGCCCUUCAGAGGGGGACAACAGUUGGAAACGAUUGCUAAUACCGCAUACUGACGGGUGGGAUUGCGUCUGAUUAGCUAGUUGGAGGGGGAACGGCCCACCAAGGCGAUGAUCAGUCGCCGGUCUGAGAGGAUGAACGGCCACAUUGGGACUGAGACACGGCCCAGACUCCUACGGGAGGCAGCAGUGGGGAAUCUGCCGCAAUGGAGGAAAGUCUGACGGAGCAACGCCGCGUGAGUGAUGACGGCCUUCGGGGUGUAAAGCUCUGUUAAUCGGGACGCGGUACCGGAAUAGAAAGCCAAGGCUAACUACGUGCCAGCAGCCGCGGUAAUUC
rnacentral:rRNA from 1 species